rnacentral:rRNA from 1 species
UGGGGAAUAUUGCACAAUGGGGGAAACCCUGAUGCAGCGACGCCGCGUGAGUGAAGAAGUAUUUCGGUAUGUAAAGCUCUAUCAGCAGGGAAGAAAAUGACGGUACCUGACCAAGAAGCCCCGGCUAACUACGUGCCAGCAGCCGCGGUAAUACGUAGGGGGCAAGCGUUAUCCGGAUUUACUGGGUGUAAAGGGAGCGUAGACGGCGAUGCAAGUCAGAAGUGAAAGCCCGCGGCUCAACUGCGGGACUGCUUUUGAAACUGUAUGGCUGGAGUGCAGGAGAGGUAAGCGGAAUUCCUGGUGUAGCGGUGAAAUGCGUAGAUAUCAGGAGGAACACCAGUGGCGAAGGCGGCUUACUGGACUGUAACUGACGUUGAGGCUCGAAAGCGUGGGGAGCAAACAGGAUUAGAUACCC